rnacentral:rRNA from 1 species
AUUGAACGCUGGCGGCAGGCCUAACACAUGCAAGUCGAACGAGUGGCGGACGGGUGAGUAAUGUCUGGGAAACUGCCCGAUGGAGGGGGAUAACUACUGGAAACGGUAGCUAAUACCGCAUACCAUCGGAUGUACCCAGAUGGGAUUAGCUAGUAGGUAGGGUAACGGCUCACCAAGGCGACGAUCCCUAGCUGGUCUGAGAGGAUGACCGGCCACACUGGGACGGAGACACGGUCCAGACGCCAACGGGAGGCAGCAGUGGGGAAUAUUGCACAAUGGGCGAAACCCUGAUGAAGCCAGGCCGCGUGUAUGAAGAAGGCCUUAGGGUUGUAAAGUACUUUCAGUGAGGAGGCGUUACUCAAAGAAGAAGCACCGGCUAACUCCGUGCCAGCAGCCGCGGUAAUAC